rnacentral:lncRNA from 1 species
UACUCGAUACAAUAACCGUCUCGGUACUCUCAACCAACGCCUCAUAUUCAAUCAACGGCGGUGACGUCACCUCUCACGCGCCGCCGCACACGCCCAAAACCGUUCCAUACUUGUGACGUAACUCGCUUACUCGCCGCGGUUAAACACUGCACCACCUCCGCCAUCGCCGGCCGCUUCUUCCGCCGUCGAUCUCACACACCUCGCCGCCAACACCGCUAGCAUCCUCACGGCGGUUUCGUCCGCCGUGACGUCAACAUUCCGAUCGAAUAUCUCGCUGUAAUCACCGGAUCGGAUGAUCGGAACCGCCCAAUCCACCACCGACGGCGGACUAAACCUCAAAUCCAAUCGCAGUUUCUACCGGAAAAUAUCUCGAGUAACAAAAUUCCGAAACUGAAGACGUCACUUUUGGCGCUGAGAUCUCCUGGCGCAAGAUAGCACGGAUCGAGAUAACCUAACGUACGGCCGGUGGUGUGCAUUGCACCUUCACGUCCUCCACGUGUCCUCUCAACGCCAAUCCGAAAUCACCUAACCUAGCGUUCCAUUUUCCGUCGAACAACACGUUUGACGACUUAAUAUCACGGUGAAUCACCGGCGGAUUUGAGGUAUGAAGAUGAUGAAUCGCUUUCGCCACCUGAAUCGCGAUCCGUACUCGUUUUGAUAAUCCGAAUGUUCGUGUAUCGUUUUUGUGUAACAAAUCGUACAACGAACCGUUGGGCAUGUAUUCAACAUCAAUAAGUUUUCUUCCGUCGAUCGGAUCUGUUCCAAACCCUAGCAGAUUCACUAACCUAGGGUUUCGCACACGAGAUAGCGUCUCGAUCUCGUUUUCCGCCGGACUAGCGGCGGUGUUACGCUCCGGCGAAUGAUUAACGGUAGUUCGUUUUCACGGCGGCGAUCAGAGCAACCGCCGUCGAGCGCGGCUCGGUACACCGAGCCGUGACUUCCUUUUCCGAGGAAGUUACUCUCGGAAAAUCGGUUCGUAGCGGAUUCAAGAUCUGCAAAACGGAAUUUUCUGAGCUUAAACUGGCUUGUUUUGAGGAUUGGAGAGCGAUUUCUUGGUUAGAUUGUAGGAAUCGCAUGUGGAAAUGGCUGAUUCUGCAUUACAUGACGAAAGGUUGAGGUGCUUUUUGAUGAAUAACAAAAUGGUGCAUUGGUUUUAUAUAAUAUUUGACUCUUAUUAAUUUUAUAUGGCCGAAUUUCUCUUCUAGUUAAUAAAAUUACAUAUAAAAUGCCCGAAUUGCUCUUCUCGUUAACAGAAAAAAUGAAUGAAGUUAACCUACUGGACUAAAAUGGCAACGGUGAAAUUUUUUGAAUCC